rnacentral:tRNA from 1 species
CCCCUUAUCGCUUAACGGUAGAGCGUGCGGCUGUAGCCCGCAAUACCCCAGUUCGACUCUGGGUGAGGGGA